rnacentral:rRNA from 1 species
UACAGAGGGUGCGAGCGUUAAUCGGAAUUACUGGGCGUAAAGGGCGCGUAGGCGGUCCAGCAAGUGAGAUGUGAAAUCCCCGGGCUUACCUGGGAACUGCAUCUUAAACUGCUGGGCUGGAGUACUGUAGAGGGAUAGUGGAAUUUCCGGUGUAGCGGUGAAAUGCGUAGAGAUCGGAAGGAACAUCAGUAGCGAAGGCGACUGUCUG